AAAAGGGUCCUCCUCAUUGUAAGGGGAGAAAAUCUGAAUUCUGCUGGACUUGCCUCAGCUAUUUCAGAGGCCACUAUGUGAAAGACUGGCAGUAGAGCACAAUGGAAAGGAAGACCAUGGAGGAUGGCUCAGAAACCUCACACCCCAUUCCCCUGCAUGGGGAGAGUCCCAAGAUCCCAAGAAAGGGAGAAUUGAAACUGAUGAGAAAAUGUUAUUGUUUAUGUGUGUUCCUGGUGUGAUUCCACAGAUGUCAGCAGAAAGGUGCUAAUGGAGCACCUCUACCGUAUCAGCUGAGGAUCUGGCACAAAGCAUCCUAGUGAGCCUGAUGACGGGGAUACUAUUUCAUACAGCUAUUCUAGCAGUUGACAGCAGAGAAAUUUUGGAUAUCCUGCUUUCCAUAGAAAAUGCUCCCUGUAAAAAAAUGGCUUUAUAAUAUGAGCCUGUAUUGAUUGAAGAUAUAUGGAAGGCUUGAAUGGAAGCAGCUUCAUUAUUUAUGCUAAGUUUUGUAGUAUAAUUUCAGUAUCUUAAAAGUGCCUGAAAUGUUAAGUCAUGUCUCUGUACUUUAUGAUCAUGCACCUAAUUUAGGGAAGGAAAGUAAGUGAGAAAUGUUCAUUCCUCUAUUGGCUGCAGGAUGCUCAAAUGAGAUAGCAGUAGAAUCAAGACUGUCAAAACAAUAAAAGGAAGUGUUAACACUGAUAAUUAUAUUAUUGAAACAAUUUGAAAUCCUUGGAGGGUGCAUUUUGGAUGAUGCAUUGUAGAACAAAUUGUGUUUCAUAGCUUAAGAGAGUUGUAAAACAAUAAACUAAUUAAGAUACCUUUUGUCUA